rnacentral:rRNA from 1 species
GGAGAGUAACGCGUGAGCAACCUACCCCGAGGAGGGGGGAUAACCCGGGGAAACCCGGGCUAAUACCCCAUAAGCGCACGGCCCGCAUGGGCUGUGUGAAAAGGUGGCCUCUGGGCUCUGCCCAUGCUGCCGCCUCGGGAUGGGCUCGCGUCCCAUCAGGUAGUUGGUGGGGUAACGGCCCACCAAGCCUACGACGGGUAGCCGGCCUGAGAGGGUGGUCGGCCACACCGGGACUGUAUACACGGCCCGGACUCCUACGGGAGGCAGCAGUGGGGAAUCUUGGGCAAUGGGCGAAAGCCUGACCCAGCGACGCCGAGUGGGGGAAGAAGCCCUUCGGGGUGUAAACCCCUGUCGCCGGGGACGAUGCGGAGUUGGGUUAAGAGCUCAACUCCCGUGACGGUACCCGGAGAGGAAGGGACGGCUAACUACGUGCCAGCAGCCGCGGUAAUACGUAGGUCCCGAGCGUUGCGCGAAAUUACUGGGCGUAAAAAGCGCGUAGGCGGGCCAGUAAGUCAGAGGUGAAAGCCCCCGGCUCAACCGGGGAAUUGCCUCUGAUACUGCUGGCCUAGGGUCCGGAAGAGGCCGGCGGAAUUCCCGGUGUAGCGGGUGAAAUGCGUAGAUAUCGGGAGGAACACCGGUGGCGAAGGCGGCCGGCUAGGACGGUACCGACGCUGAGGCGCGAAAGCGUGGGGAGCGAACCGGAUUAGAUACCCGGGUAGUCCACGCUGUAAACGAUGGGUGCUGGGCGUUGGCACCUAAGGGUGUCAGUGCCGAAGCUAACGCGUUAAGCACCCCGCCUGGGGAGUACGGCCGCAAGGCUGAAACUCAAAGGAAUAGACGGGGGCCCGCACAAGCGGUGGAGCAUGUGGUUUAAUUCAAUGCUACGCGAAGAACCUUACCAGGGCUUGACAUGCUGGGGGUAGCCCCGCCGAAAGGCGUGGGUCGCGGCAGGCCUUUUGGCCUGCCCACCCAGCACAGGUGGUACAUGGCCGUCGUCAGCUCGUGCCGUGAGGUGUUGGGUUAAGUCCCGCAACGAGUGCAACCCCUGCCCCUAGUUGCCAGCGGGUUAGGCCGGGCACACUAGGGGGACUGCCGGCGAUAAGCCGGAGGAAGGAGGGGAUGACGUCAGGUCAGUAUGCCCCUUAAGCCCUGGGCUACACACGUGCUACAAUGGCCGGGACAGAGGGAAGCGAAGCCGCGAGGCGGAGCAAAUCCCAGAAACCCGGUCCCAGUUCGGAUUGCAGGCUGCAACUCGCCUGCAUGAAGCCGGAAUCGCUAGUAACGGCCGGUCAUCCACACGGCCGUGAAGACGUUAACCGGGCCUUGUACUCACCGCCCGUCACACCCCU